rnacentral:lncRNA from 1 species
CAUUAAACAAUACACAAUACCUACCAGGAUUUUAAGACAUACAUUUCUUUGUGUUUGACAAAGCCCAGUUCAACUGGAUGACUUUGAUGCCUACAUCAAGGAUAUGGCCAAAGACUCUGACUAUAAAUUUUCUCUUCAAUUUGAGGAGCUGAAACUGAUUGGCCUGGAUAUUCCACACUUUGCUGC